rnacentral:rRNA from 1 species
AGUGAACGCUGGCGGCAGGCCUAACACAUGCAAGUCGAGCGGAAGAAGAGUGCUUGCUCCUGGAUACAGCGGCGGACGGGCGAGCAAUGCCGAGGAAUCUGCCUGGCAGCGUGGGCUAACGUCCGGACACGGGCGCACAUACCGCAUUCGUCCAGAGGGAGUACGUGGGGGAUCUUCGGACCUCCCGCUCUUAGAUGAGUCAAGGUCGGAUUAGCUAGUUGGUGGGGUAAAGGGCUAACAAGGCGCCGAUCCGUCAGUGGUUAGCGGGGAUGAUCAGUCAAACUUGAACUUGGACACGGGCCAGACUCCUACGGGAAGGAGCAGGGGGGAAUAAUUGACAAUGGGCGAAAGCCUGAUCCAGCCAUACCGCGUGUGUGAAGAAGGUCUUCGGAUUGUAAAGCACUUUAGGUGGGGAGGAAGAGCAGUAAGUUAAUACCUUGCUGUUUUGACGGUACCAACAGAAUAAGCACCGGCUAACUUCGUG